GCGUAAAGAGCUCGUAGGCGGUUUGUCGCGUCUGCCGUGAAAGUCCGGGGCUCAACUCCGGAUCUGCGGUGGGUACGGGCAGACUAGAGUGAUGUAGGGGAGACUGGAAUUCCUGGUGUAGCGGUGAAAUGCGCAGAUAUCAGGAGGAACACCGAUGGCGAAGGCAGGUCUCUGGGCAUUAACUGACGCUGAGGAGCGAAAGCAUGGGGAGCGAACAGGAUUAGAUACCCUGGUAGUCCAUGCCGUAAACGUUGGGCACUAGGUGUGGGGGACAUUCCACGUUUUCCGCGCCGUAGCUAACGCAUUAAGUGCCCCGCCUGGGGAGUACGGCCGCAAGGCUAAAACUCAAAGGAAUUGACGGGGGCCCGCACAAGCGGCGGAGCAUGCGGAUUAAUUCGAUGCAACGCGAAGAACCUUACCAAGGCUUGACAUGGACUGGAAACAUCUGGAAACAGGUGCCCCGCUUGCGGCCGGUUCACAGGUGGUGCAUGGUUGUCGUCAGCUCGUGUCGUGAGAUGUUGGGUUAAGUCCCGCAACGAGCGCAACCCUCGUUCCAUGUUGCCAGCGCGUAAUGGCGGGGACUCAUGGGAGACUGCCGGGGUCAACUCGGAGGAAGGUGGGGACGACGUCAAAUCAUCAUGCCCCUUAUGUCUUGGGCUUCACGCAUGCUACAAUGGCCGGUACAAAGGGUUGCGAUACUGUGAGGUGGAGCUAAUCCCAAAAAGCCGGUCUCAGUUCGGAUUGGGGUCUGCAACUCGACCCCAUGAAGUCGGAGUCGCUAGUAAUCGCAGAUCAGCAACGCUGCGGUGAAUACGUUCCCGGGCCUUGUACACACCGCCCGUCAAGUCACGAAAGUUGGUAACACCCGAAGCCGGUGGCCUAACCCCUUGUGGGAGGGAGCUGUCGAAGGUGA
rnacentral:rRNA from 1 species